AGGUGGCGUCGUGAAAUGUCGUAACGUGACAGACAGUCACUAUAGAGAAAUGGUUGCGUCGGCUGUGUGACGCUGAUAUCAUUCCCACGUGUGUGCGCGCGUGAAACGGGUCCCUAUUGGGUCCAAGUGCUUUGUGGCGCGGCGCGUGAGCCACGUGUUUAGAGUUCUGCUUACUAUAGAACCCUGUAACCAAAACAAGGACCACUUAUUUCCAUUCUACGUAUUUAUUAGAUCACAUACACAUUCGUGUCUCUUUUUUUUCGUUUAUGGACAAAAAAAACUCUCCAAAUAAUCGUCUGAAUAUUUUGAAAGUCACUAUGUAGUUAUAUUUUGAUUAAACGCAUUUCUCACCCUGAUUUGUUAUUCACUCGUUAAAGAAAAGUUAAUGUAUUUGAUAAACCUAGUUGUAUUAUUUAAUGGGAAAGGGCAUUAUGGACGGUAGCCAUUACCGUUAAAGCGCCGUUAGCUGCGGCAUAUGAGAGUUGGGUGAUGUGUCAGGUCAGUUGAACUGUCGUCUUUUUCCAUGAAACUUCGAGGAGACCUGAUUGGGUUUCACGUGUCUUUUUGACGCCGUCAACUCCUUUUGUCCUUUUUUUGGUAUAACUAAAAAUCAUGUAAUUAGCCUUUUGAACUUGUUAUCGCCGUCCUUCACGCUCCUUGCAUUCCACACUCGAUUUUGUUUCUUUAUACGAGUAAAAGGUAACAGCCUCAUUUACUCUUUGAUUGCCGACAUAAAAAAAGUUUGUUUGUAAAUUCAAAGAAAAAAAAUUCCGAUUGUGUCUUGACUCUUGAGGCAUUUUAGUAAUAAUCGAUUGAUUAUACAAAUCACGUUAGCUUUUUGAUACCCAAUCACAAAAUAGUAAAAACUAGGGGAAUCAAAAGUAGUAACAUUAUUAUCGCGUAUCUUUCAAUUUCAUAAUUGUUUUAACGGUUUUAUUAUUCUGUCAUUUUAGUGUUAUUUUUCUUCCGCUAUCAAUUCUUCGAACUGAA